CUGCGGGCCUGAACUGAGAAGAAAGGAAACUUUGAAGGGACAGCUCAAAAAAAAAAACAACCAAAAGCUUUUUAAACUAGCCUGGAGGUUAUAUCAGCAAAAGGACAGAUGUAUUCAGCAAUUUGAGUGGACAAGCUGCAAGCAGAGACCAAGAUGCAGCACUUGAACCUCACAGUUCAGAAGCUUCAGAGCCAGCACCCUGCAGGAUUUUGUCUACUGUUAUUUACAGAUCAAUAUCUCUGGAAAAUGCUGCUUUAUUGCUUCAGAUACCAAUCCAGGAUUCAAGGAAGGAGCUGGAGGUGGCAAGAAAGGCAGGACCAAAGAGGCCUCACAGAGCACCAAAUGAGCAUCAAUCACAGCCUCCUUAUCAGCAAUACAAUACCAUGAAAGAGCUAUUGAGCACAGUAAUCCAGAGCAACAUUUGA